CCAUGCCAACACUACAGACCUGGGGCCAAUUCUACAUACAUAAGAACUACAACUUCUCAGUGCCUCAGGGUCCCCGCCAAUUAGGAAUGUUGUUAUAUUAAUCUCACAGGUUUCCUCACAAGCACUAAGCUAAUUAUCAUGCCUAGAAUCCUGCCUUGUACAUAGCAGGUCUCCAUGUAAGUGUUCAUUAUUAUUGUUAUCAUUAUUAUAGCUCUCAGAAUAUCCAUUUCAUUUUUCCUCAGUUCUGACUUGCUUUUGCCCUGUGCUAAGAAAUAUAGCCAUGAAGAAAACACUUGAUUCCUCAGUUUAACAACUACAACCAGAGAGUUCUGAGCUCUCUCCUCUUAAGCUCACAAAUAAUGGAAGGCAGCCUUUCUCUGCAAGGAUCAGGUGGUCUUGCUCCAGUGAAGUCUGGAGCAUGGCACCAUCCUGGAGCACUGUCAGUAAAAUUGAGCUACAGUCACUAUCCUUAAGGGAUAGCUUCACUGGUCAAGAGCUUGCUAUGCAAACAUGAAGACCUGAGUUUGUCCCCCAAACCCAGCUUCAAAAAAAAAAAAAAAAAAGCCAGGCACGGUAGUGUGUCCUUGUGAACUCCGUGCCGGGAAGGAGACAGUGGCUAGCCAGCCAAGCUUACUUGUGAGUUCCAGGCCAUUGAGAGAUCCUGCUGUGGAAAACAAGGUGGACAACUCCAGAGGAACCGAUGGAGAAGAUACUGCAACUGAUAGAAUUGAUGCUAUAAAAGACUGACAAAUGGUUUUGCUUAAGCCUUUUAAGUCACACCAAGUCAAAUAUAGCUAAGAGAGCUCUGCCUCCAAAAUACUCCAGAGAUAAGUAGUGUCCUAGCCGGGUCUGUUAGAGUAAAGCAAAGUUUGGGAUGGCAGGAUGCUGCCUACUGUUAAUUCACCAAAAUGAACCUGUAAUUAGGCUCCAUUCCCGUAACAAAAAGAGACAGCCCUAACUCCAACCUGCUAUUAGUCCCAUCCCCAUAGCAAAGAACAUACCUCCAAGGGGCAGCUCAAGGGGUCAGCACAGGGUCACAGCCACAAUUAAGUCCCAGUCUGCCACUAAGUGCCCUGUCCGUCCUCUUAUCAG
rnacentral:lncRNA from 1 species